UACAGUUGCUGUUACUUUGAUCUGUCUUGGGAGGUGCCUCAGAACACCACUGCUCUCUUUCAGGGAGCCACUCAGGGAAAUGGGGUGAGAAGGGAGCUCUCAGAAACUUGGAAAACUUAACUUCUGUGGGAUCCCUCAGAAGGCAUGUGGCUGCAUCCCACCAGGCUGAAGGUAGGGGGCGCCAGGGGGCUGGGUCCUGUAAGGUUGGAGCUGGGGGCUGGGAUUCACCAAAGAGAAACAAAAGAAACUGGAAGCCGUUAUCACGGGCCGGGCUGUCCUCGGGGAACAUUCUGGGAAGAAAGGAGAAAGCCCCGCUGGCUGGGAGCAGCCAUGCGGGGGGGAUCUGAAGUGACAGGUGUCAUGAGAAUAAGCAGGAACCUGUUUCUGGGCGUCCAACAGCAUCAGUGUCCUGAGAGAAAGAAGGCCGAUCAAAAUACCAGCUAGAAUUUCCCUUGUCAAGGUCACCCCACACCCAUGUGGGGCUCUCCAUCAGCUCUAUUUUCUGCAGUGCUGCCAGCCAGUUCUGUGAAUCUUGUUUCUUUGGAGCCCCUGGGGAACUUAUUUGAUUGUUCAGGUUUCUAUUCAGUCCGAGAGUCAUUUAUGAUUUCCCGAAUAAAAUACUCAACUUGAUGAGUAUGUGUAGGUAUGUGAUCUUUUUUUUUUUUUUUAAUUUUUUUUAUUUUUUUUUUAAAUUUUAAAAUCUUGGUAUGUGAUCUUUUAGAGAUAAUUUUUAAAAGCUGUUCCCCAAUCCAAAUUGGGGCUGGAUGGGGCUAGUAAGGAAGCACCAGGGAAGAUCAAGGAGAGGAAUUCGGAUUCUGCCAUACACCUGGGGGAGGCCUCUGGGAAAGUGCCUCUUGUCCGAAAGGGGAGGCACCUGUCCUGCAGCCACUGCACAGGUCCAAGCAUUAGGAUUUCCCUGCCAUUCGGGGGGGACGCGGGGACGUCUGGCCUUCCGUUUCCACAUCUGUAAAGUGGCACUUGCCACAGCCUACCACCAGAGACCGUGCCUCUCCUCUCAAGCUCAGAUACAGUUCUCUAAUGUCCUAUGAGAAAGUGCCCUUUUUCAGAAGUCACCGUCUUCAGGUCUUCCCAGAUUAACCUCAUUAGGUGUGUGAUUAAAGAAGUUCACAUUCUUAGAGCAAAAAAAAGAAUAGGAAAAAGCAGAGUCCAUCCCAACUGCCUUCAUUUUUUCACAAGAGACUAGCCAGUCCAGGGUUCUGCAGCCCCUUCACUCACAGACUUUUCAUCAUUACUCCAAUCCCAUUGCUCUGUGAUCUGAAGUUGGUGGACACUCUCUUUCUAAGAAAGCUAUGAACUCCUUAGAAGACAAAGACCUUCGUGUUGCCCAAAGUAUUUCUCUUCUAGGCUUCCACAGUGGUCUGGAUACAAGGGCCUUUGUUCCUGCUGCUGGCUGACUAAGGCAGAGCUGGAAAAAGGAAGGUGUGAGCCUCUUCCAGAGCAAGGAAGAUGACUCAGGAGAUAAGACAUGUGAACUAACACUUCCUUCGUUUUCUACUUGCUGACCCAAUAACUGAUGUCAAGCGUUCCUAAAGCUGACAGCACACACAUGGAGAAAAACAGCUCUUCACUUGAGCCAGGAGAAAGCUGCCAGUUUGGUACCCACUUGACAAAAUAAAAUAAAGCUCUGCUUCCUAUGAAGCAGUGCUGUUUGGGUCUCCUUACUGCCCUGUGUCCCAAGACCACAAGAAUAGAGUAAGGCAGGCAAACUGCUAGAACACAGUAGGACCACGGUAACCAGUCUGCAAAGGAGAACAGCAGACAUCUAAGCUUUGUUCACAAGCUCGGCCAAGCCAGCACCUCUCCUCCCCAAGCUGUGACAGGACUGACUGACCCACAUACCCAGCAGGGUCCCAUUUCUCUCCAGCAUUCCAAAAAUGUCCCUCCUGAUGUUUACUCCCAUUACAGGCACAGACUUGUAAGUCUCCGGUAGAGAACAGACAGACCUAUGGUAUCCUGGUCACGUCCAUUUGUAGAAACUGUGAGAUAAGUUUCUAAUGCGAUCAUUUCUCUCUGCCUUUGUAUGAUUUUUAAAAACCAUUCUUUCUUUGUCCAUCCGCCCAUCCACCCACACCUUCAUCCAUCCAUUUAACAAGGGCAUUUGGCAUCCACUUGAUGCUG
ensembl:lincRNA